AUUGAACGCUAGCGGGAUGCUCUACACAUGCAAGUCGAACGGCAGCGCGGACUUCGGUCUGGCGGCGAGUGGCGAACGGGUGAGUAAUGUAUCGGAACGUGCCCAGUAGCGGGGGAUAACUACGCGAAAGCGUAGCUAAUACCGCAUACGCCCUACGGGGGAAGGCAGGGGAUCGUAAGACCUUGCACUAUUGGAGCGGCCGAUAUCGGAUUAGCUAGUUGGUGAGGUAACGGCUCACCAAGGCGACGAUCCGUAGCUGGUUUGAGAGGACGACCAGCCACACUGGGACUGAGACACGGCCCAGACUCCUACGGGAGGCAGCAGUGGGGAAUUUUGGACAAUGGGGGCAACCCUGAUCCAGCCAUCCCGCGUGUGCGAUGAAGGCCUUCGGGUUGUAAAGCACUUUUGGCAGGAAAGAAACGUCGCGGGCUAAUACCCCGUGGAACUGACGGUACCUGCAGAAUAAGCACCGGCUAACUACGUG
rnacentral:rRNA from 1 species